UUUGUUUUGCUACCGGGUAAAACAAAUUAAAGUGCUCAAACACAUUCCAUUAGGUCUUAGAAGGGAUGUUGUCUGAGCUUUUUUCAU
rnacentral:ncRNA from 1 species